rnacentral:rRNA from 1 species
AAUCCAUAGGUUAAUGAGGCGAACCGGGGGAACUGAAACAUCUAAGUACCCCGAGGAAAAGAAAUCAACCGAGAUUCCCCCAGUAGCGGCGAGCGAACGGGGAGGAGCCCAGAGCCUGAAUCAGCAUGUGUGUUAGUGGAAGCGUCUGGAAAGGCGCGCGAUACAGGGUGACAGCCCCGUACACAAAAGCGCAUGUGCUGUGAGCUCGAUGAGUAGGGCGGGACACGUGGUAUCCUGUCUGAAUAUGGGGGGACCAUCCUCCAAGGCUAAAUACUCCUGACUGACCGAUAGUGAACCAGUACCGUGAGGGAAAGGCGAAAAGAACCCCGGCGAGGGGAGUGAAAAAGAACCUGAAACCGUGUACGUACAAGCAGUGGGAGCACCCUUUGGGUGUGACUGCGUACCUUUUGUAUAAUGGGUCAGCGACUUAUAUUCUGUAGCAAGGUUAACCGAAUAGGGGAGCCGGAGGGAAACCGAGUCUUAACCGGGCGUUAAGUUGCAGGGUAUAGACCCGAAACCCGGUGAUCUAGCCAUGGGCAGGUUGAAGGUUGGGUAACACUAACUGGAGGACCGAACCGACUAAUGUUGAAAAAUUAGCGGAUGACCUGUGGCUGGGGGUGAAAGGCCAAUCAAACCGGGAGAUAGCUGGUUCUCCCCGAAAGCUAUUUAGGUAGCGCCUCGUGAAUUCAUCUCCGGGGGUAGAGCACUGUUUCGGCUAGGGGGCCAUCCCGGCUUACCAACCCGAUGCAAACUGCGAAUACCGGAGAAUGUUAUCACGGGAGACACACGGCGGGUGCUAACGUCCGUCGUGAAGAGGGAAACAACCCAGACCGCCAGCUAAGGUCCCAAAGUCAUGGUUAAGUGGGAAACGAUGUGGGAAGGCCCAGACAGCCAGGAUGUUGGCUUAGAAGCAGCCAUCAUUUAAAGAAAGCGUAAUAGCUCACUGGUCGAGUCGGCCUGCGCGGAAGAUGUAACGGGGCUAAACCAUGCACCGAAGCUGCGGCAGCGACACUGUGUGUUGUUGGGUAGGGGAGCGUUCUGUAAGCCUGUGAAGGUGUGUCGUGAGGCAUGCUGGAGGUAUCAGAAGUGCGAAUGCUGA